rnacentral:rRNA from 1 species
UACGAAGGGGGCUAGCGUUGCUCGGAAUUACUGGGCGUAAAGCGCACGUAGGCGGCUUUCUAAGUCGGGGGUGAAAUCCUGGAGCUCAACUCCAGAACUGCCUUCGAUACUGGAGAGCUUGAGUCCGGGAGAGGUGAGUGGAACUGCGAGUGUAGAGGUGAAAUUCGGUAGAAUAUUCGCAAGAACACCAGUGGCGAAAGGCGGCUCAGC